GUCCUUCUGUAGUUCACAAGUGUGAUGACCGAGUUCUCACACCUAUGUGUGAAAUGUCCUCCCUCAAACCUUAUUACUACCUUGGCACACUGGCUGUCUGGUG